rnacentral:rRNA from 1 species
AGUGAACGCUGGCGGCGUGCUUAACACACGCAAGUCGAACGAGAACGGAAUAUAGCUUGCUAUAUUUGUCAGCUAAGUGGCGCACGGGUGAGUAAUGUAUAGAUAACCUGCCCUUAAGAGAGGAAUAACAGUUGGAAACGACUGCUAAUGCCCUAUAUGCCUUUAAUACAUAAGUAUGCAAGGGAAACGCUUUAGUGCUUAAGGAUGGGUCUGUAUGGUAUCAGCUUGUUGGUGAGGUAAUGGCUCACCAAGGCUAUGACGCCUAACUGGUUUGAGAGGAUGAUCAGUCACACUGGAACUGAGACACGGUCCAGACUCCUACGGGAGGCAGCAGUGGGGAAUAUUGCACAAUGGACGAAAGUCCGAUGCAGCAACGCCGCGUGGAGGAUGACACAUUUCGGUGCGUAAACUCCUUUUAUAUAGGAAGAUAAUGACGGUACUAUAUGAAUAAGCACCGGCUAACUCCGUGCCAGCAGCCGCAGUAA